AAUCUAUUCUAUUUGUCAUUUAGCUUGUUUAAUCUGUGCUGAAUAAAGUGCACAAUAUUUAAGCAGGAUAUGGUUGCACGCGGAUUUUUAGAGAGUUAAAUCUUUUGGCCAAUAGAAAACGUCAUAAUAGUUAUUAUAUGAACUGGGAUUGGUCAAUGACUUUUGAAAUUAAAAUCCGAUGGCCUGAAAAAAUCGGUUUUCCAACAAACGUCAGUUACGCGCAAGGAGGUUUAGCUAUUUAUCCAUCGAAGUUAAUAAGGGAGAAGACAUAAGACUAAUUUUAUUAUUUGCCUGCCGCGACCCGGUUUUUACGAACAAUGACGAUGACGAACGAUGAACCAGUAACGAGGAGCACACUUAGCAAUGCUUCCAGGUUGCGCCUCGGUAUCAAUUAAGUAACAUUUUCCGUUAAGUUUACUUUAUGGCCAACUAAAGGACUUUUGCCGUCUCCAUGGACAAACUCGAAGUAUGAUAACUACAGUCAUUGUCAAAAUUUUGCACUGCCAUUGCCGCUGGAUACCAUAUAUCGCUACUAUAUUCAUAGAUAAUAGACUUUCAGUUAAUCGUCAAAAUUGACAUUGUUUUUUAAAUAACAACAAAUGGUAUGAAUUUUUAAAUGUGAUAUUUUUAUAAAGGUAAGUCCCCAAAACAACAUUUGAUAGCCUAUUUUCUUUCGUUGGCAUCUAAGUUCCUGUUUUCUACAUAUAUGUUACUACUACCUAUUGGAUAAGUAACUAAGAACUUUGUCGUUUAUUCCAUGUGAACAAAAUCCCUAAAAGCCCAUUUGUAAUAAUAUUCUUACUAAACACUGCUGAAAAAGGACUAAACUUCUGAGCUAUGAACGUAUAAUCCAGUAGCAUUAAGUAGGUAGGUACGUAUAGCGACGUUGGAACUUGAUAUAGAAGUUAGCUGUUUUAUAUUUUUUUUCACAGCAGAAAUCUUUAUCUUUGAUCUUAAUAUCUGAUCGUACGUAUUGUCUUUUAAAAUAUUACAUUUGCCUAAAUAAAAAUAACCGACCUGCUGCUUAUGUAAAUUAUAAUUAUUUAUAACCCUACUUACAAUGCAUAACAAUCAUAAUUAGGUAUUAUAACCCUACUUAACAAUGCAUAACAAUCAUAAGAUAGUUUGGCGUAUAAGUAGGUAGGUAGGUACUAUCUAGGCCGAAGGUGGAAGCGAUCGACCCGGAAAUAUUCUCAACCAUCUCAACUAUCAUAAUAUGUAUUUAGAACAGUCCCUCCUUACCAAUGAUAUUAUAGAUACCAUUGCUCCUUACCAUCAAUGCAAUCGAGCAGACAAAGGACAUUGAUAAAAAUCGCCCUAAGAUUUUCAAAGACUUAGUAUGUACCAUAAUUUUAUGUAUAUUUUAUUUAUUUACUUGCAAGUGUCCAAACCUAUCGGACAAGUUGCAGUUCGAAAAAAUAUUUUAAAAGUAUUUAAACGAAAUCAAAGUCACCGACAUAUUGACAGAGCAGAGACAGAGAUGCGCUUUUUUAAUUCGAUUUAAGUAAAUAAUGGUAUGAUCGAUUAGACUAGAGUCUAAUCAUUAGACCUUUAGACGGGCGCAGAUCCGCCGCGCCCGCAGCGCUUCAGUGGAUUAUUGCAUUUUUUUAUGUAUAUUUAAUCACAUUUAUUUACCUACAUUUACAUAUUUACUCUUUUCUUUAAGUGUAGACACUGUUUAUGUAUAAGUCCACUAUUGCAUGCCGUGGCAACCUAUAAUUAAGGCAGCACUUAGAUUAAGUUAAAUACGUUGUAAAUAUUGAUUGUCUUCCAGUGUAUGUCUUGUUGGUUGUCCUAUUAAAUAAAUAAAAUAAAUAUUUAUAGCAACACAAUGUUUAAAAAUAAAAUUUUUCAAAAACGAUCAAUUUAAUCGAUUAUGUCUAUUCUAAAUGGACAUCCCUAUUUGUUAGUCAAAUUGUCAUUCACUCGCAUCACCUUUUCUCUCUCACUCACUCUUGCUGUGUUGCUGUCUUGCUUGAUCCUUCUUUGUGAUUCGUUUGUGUUUUAGCUUUUAUUUUCGGAACUUUAUUAACUACAAACUUGGCUAUUCAAACGGACUCUGAUUGAUUGCAAUAACGACAUACUCAGCCUGGGAUUUACUGUUUUUGUGUGGCUCGGCCAAGGCUCGGCUGGUGGUUCUAUGGUGUUAGAAAAUGAGCAACUUAAUUAUACACAACAAUGGGCAGCACCUCGAUCGGUUACAGCUCAUGAUCUUAUAUGCACAACAUGUUGGACCCAAGCCCAAGAUACAACACAAAUGCAUCUACUUCAAAUCUUAGCAGAAAAUGUGUGCUUUGCAGUAGAACACUAGAGCCUAGAACACGUUCACAUCAGCUCAUGUCCCUGAGAACUAACACUCAACAUCAUAUUAACAUCAGGAACAUAAUUGUGGAACGACUAACUCCAUUAGAGGUUACUGCAAAUGACUACAUCUGUGGGGCUUGUCACUCAUUAUUGCAAAGAGAUACCACACCUACUUCACAAGACUCUCCAGAUAUGCCAACCGGUGCCCCGGUAGGUCACCAACAAGUUUGUGUUGGAUGUGGUUGUUCAUUAUUGCGAACUUGAAGUCAUUGUUUGGAUACAGAGAAUAAUCAAGAUAUAUUAAACAUUGU